UACGGAGGAUGCAAGCGUUAUCCGGAAUGAUUGGGCGUAAAGCGUCCGCAGGUGGCUGUGUAAGUCUGCUGUUAAAGAGUCAUGCUCAACAUGAAUAAGAGCAGGUGGAAACUACACGGCUAGAGUGCGGUUCGGGGCAGGAAGGGAAUUCCUGGUGUAGCGGUGAAAUGCGUAGAGAUCAGGAAGAACACCGGUGGCGAAAAGCGCUCUGCUAGGCCGCAACUGACACUGAGGGACGAAAGCUAGGGGAGCGAAUGGG
rnacentral:rRNA from 1 species